rnacentral:rRNA from 1 species
AUACGUAGAAGGCGAACGUUAUCCGGAUUUACUGGGCGUAAAGCGGGUGUAGACGGUUUUUUAAGUCAGUUGUGAAAUCUCCCGACUCAAUCAGGAGACUGCAAUUGAUACUGGAGAGCUUGAGGGCAUCAGAAGAAAGCAGAAUUCACGGUGUAGCGGUGAAAUGCGUAGAUAUCGUGAGGAAUACCAGUGGCGCAAGCGGCUUUCUAGGAUGAUCCUGACGUUGAGGCCCGAAAGUGUGGGGAGC